rnacentral:lncRNA from 1 species
GUCCUAAGUGCCUGACAACAUCCCUUGGGUGGCAUGUUGUUUGUGUUUGGGUGGAAGAGGUUUUUAUUCUGAGAUUCGUCUGGAACGCUCACCGACAUUUGGAAAUCAGUCUUCCGAUGCUAAGUAAACAUUCGAAUGAUGUGCCUUGUUCACGUUACAGAUGCUGCCAUGCUAAGUGGUGACACGUUGAUCACACAUGAGUUCAAGGAUACAGGAAACAUGUGAAGAAGCGUUCUGCCCCUCAGCCUUCCAGAUCGAAGCCCAGUUGGCGAGCGGAGAAGACGUGCCUGAAAGCCGGGCACAGGGGCCCCGGCUCGCUCCCUUCAGGCUUUUGUGUGCCCGCGCCUUCACGUGUUGGACGUCGCCACCUAUGAACUGCGUGCAGGAUUGCGGUGACCAGCGCGUGAAGGACACCUUCAGGGUGAGGGAGCAUGAACAGCCUUGA